rnacentral:tRNA from 1 species
UCUAAUGUGGCAGAUUAAGUGCAAUGAACUUAAAAUUCAUUAAUAAAUAUUAAUAUUUCUUUAGAA